CGAAGAAGCGAACCUGCGAAGGCAAGCGGAUCUCUUAAAGCCGUUCUCAGUUCGGACUGUAGGCUGCAACUCGCCUACACGAAGCUGGAAUCGCUAGUAAUCGCGGAUCAGCACGCCGCGGUGAAUACGUUCCCGGGCCUUGUACACACCGCCCGUCACACCAUGGGAGUCUGUAACACCCAAAGCCGGUGGGAUAACCUUUAUAGGAGUCAGCCGUCUAAGGUAGGACAGAUGAUUAGGGUGAAGUCGUAACAAGGUAAC
rnacentral:rRNA from 1 species